CUCAUCUAGCGCGAUAGCCUCGCUUAUUGUCACGUGGAGCUUCCUUUCCCUCUCUUGUCCACACCUCUUUACUGUGAGGCUCACGACAUGUCAUCCUCACCGAAUCUCUUUCUGCGAGCGGCUGUCGUAUCGCUCAAUGUGAUUGGCAUGUGGGAUGCCUACCUCGUGCUGCGCCAGCGCCGCGCUAACCAAACCAAGGAGAUGCCAUCGUAUUUCAGGAAGGACAUCACGGACGAGGAGUUUGCGAAGGCGCAGGCGUACGAGGGCGAGAAGAGCACGUUCAGUUUCCUCCAGCAUCUGAAGGGACUCGUGAUAACCAACAUGGGUAUUUUUCUGCGCCUCCCCGCGUUCCUGUACUACCUUGUUGCGCAGCGCGCGAGCUUGUCUACCGGCUCCUUUUCUCAUAACUACGCCGCCGCCGUAGCCGGGGAGUUGAUCUCCGUCGUACUCGACAUCCCCUUCUCCUUCUACGAGAACUUCCACAUUGAGGACCGGCACGGCUUCAACGAGAUGACCAAGACAGAGUUCGUAAAGGAUAUUGUGAAAACGCUGCUUCUCCGCGUCACGCUGCUGUACCCUCUGCAGAUCAAGCUCAUCCAAUUUGUGGUGCAACGCUUUGGCGAGCGCUUUCCGUUAUACCUCUUCUUAGGAAUGUCUGUGAUGCUGGUUGUGUUUCUCCUGGCAAUGCCAACAGUUAUCCAGCCGCUGUUCAACAAGUUUACCCCGCUCGACGCGGAGUCGACCCUGUACAAGAAGAUUGAACUCCUCAGCAAGGAGAUGAGCUUCCCGCUGAAGAAGGUCUUCGUCGUCGAUGGCAGCCGCCGCUCGCACCACAGCAACGCCUACUUCUACGGCUUUGGCAGCAACAAACGCAUCGUCCUCUACGACACCAUUCUAGAGCAGCUGAGGGACGACGACGAGUCCAUCAUUGCGGUGCUCUGCCACGAGCUUGGCCAUUGGAAGCACAACCACAUCUACGUGAACCUUGCCAUGGCCCUUGGCCAGCUCAUGCUGAUAUCCUACGGUGCACGCCUGGUCGUCUUCGACAAGAGGGUCUAUGAAGCGUUUGGCUUCGGUGAGGUGGAUCCGGUGAUCGGGCUUAACAUCUUCGCUGAGAUGUUCUACGAGCCCCUGAGUACGUUUAUCGGAUACGGGUUCUGCUACGUUUCGCGGCGGCACGAGUUUCAAGCGGACCGCUUCGCCGUGACGCACAAUCGUGGUGAGGGAAUGAAGAAGGCCCUCUUGGUGAUCAGCAAGGAAAACCGGGCCAGCCUAACACCGGAUCCGCUGUACUCGGCGCUCCACUACACGCACCCGCCCGUGCUCGAGCGCUUGCAGGCGAUUGACGCGGAGCUCAAGAAGCGGGAAUAGUAUCAAAUGCUACUCGUGUCGAUGCGCCUUGCCGCACGUCUUUCUUUUGUCGUUGGCCGUUUCCGUCCCUGUGCUUCCUUUGCCUUUUAACAAAUUAUUUAGUGGUUGCGUUGCGCUCAUCCGUCUCCUCUAGCUGCCGUGACUCCACUCUACCCCUCUUCUUCUUUUCGCAUCCACCGCGCGGCGCACCAGAGCGGUGAAGAAGGAACG
rnacentral:misc_RNA from 1 species